rnacentral:tRNA from 1 species
GAACAUAGCUCAGUUGGUUAGAGCAUGGUGCUGAUAAUGCCAAGGUUGCAGGUUCGAUCUUCAUGUGGGAUACC